UUUUCAAGCUUUCAAAUUUCAAUAGCUCCUUGGUCAUGUGACCUACUGACUUCAAACAAGGUUCAGAAUGUACACGGACUGGCGGAGACGGGCGCUGCGAGGCAUCCAGUGCAGUAACGCGACCGAUCCCAGAGAAGUUGGCGGGAGCCCCGGGGAGAGUUCUCUUUUCUUUGUGAAGGGCAGGGCGCCCUGGAAUGGGUUCGCCCCAAGAGAGGGGCCCAAGCCCUUGAAAGCAUAGCGGUUUUGGCGUUGUCCGGUGAGCUCUCCCUGGCCCUUGAAAAUCUGGGGGAGAGGGUGUAAAUCUUACGCCGGCCCAUACCGAUAUCCGCAGCAGGUCUCCAAGGUGAACAGCCUCU
rnacentral:ncRNA from 1 species